rnacentral:rRNA from 1 species
CCUACGGGGGGCUGCAGUGGGGAAUAUUGGACAAUGGGGGGAACCCUGAUCCAGCCAUGCCGCGUGUGUGAAGAAGGCCCUCGGGUUGUAAAGCACUUUCAGUGAGGAAGAACGCCUGGUGGUUAAUACCCAUCAGGAAAGACAUCACUCACAGAAGAAGCACCGGCUAACUCCGUGCCAGCAGCCGCGGUAAUACGGAGGGUGCGAGCGUUAAUCGGAAUUACUGGGCGUAAAGCGCGCGUAGGUGGCUUGAUAAGCCGGUUGUGAAAGCCCCGGGCUCAACCUAGGAACGGCAUCCGGAACUGUCAAGCUAGAGUGCAGGAGAGGAAGGUAGAAUUCCCGGUGUAGCGGUGAAAUGCGUAGAGAUCGGGAGGAAUACCAGUGGCGAAGGCGGCCUUCUGGACUGACACUGACACUGAGGUGCGAAAGCGUGGGUAGCAAACAGGAUUAGAUACCCCUGUAGUC